GGACGACACUCUGGAGAGACCCGUAUCGUGCGGGCGCCGAAGGGGCAAACAGAUGGUGUAUCUGUGAAACUCUCAGGCAAAAGGACAGAGUCAGGCAA
rnacentral:ncRNA from 1 species